AUGCACGCUGGCGGCGUGCCUAAUACCUGCAAGUCGAGCGAACAGAUAAGGAGCUUGCUCCUUUGACGUUAGCGGCGGACGGGUGAGUAACACGUGGGUAACCUACCUAUAAGACUGGGAUAACUUCGGGAAACCGGAGCUAAUACCGGAUAACAUUUGGAACCGCAUGGUUCUAAAGUGAAAGAUGGUUUUGCUAUCACUUAUAGAUGGACCCGCGCCGUAUUAGCUAGUUGGUAAGGUAACGGCUUACCAAGGCGACGAUACGUAGCCGACCUGAGAGGGUGAUCGGCCACACUGGAACUGAGACACGGUCCAGACUCCUACGGGAGGCAGCAGUAGGGAAUCUUCCGCAAUGGGCGAAAGCCUGACGGAGCAACGCCGCGUGAGUGAUGAAGGGUUUCGGCUCGUAAAACUCUGUUAUUAGGGAAGAACAAAUGUGUAAGUAACUGUGCACGUCUUGACGGUACCUAAUCAGAAAGCCACGGCUAACUACGUG
rnacentral:rRNA from 1 species